CCUACGGGUGGCAGCAGUGAGGAAUAUUGGUCAAUGGGCGCAGGCCUGCACCAGCCAAGUCGCGUGAGGGAAGACUGCCCUAUGGGUUGUCAACCUCUUUUAUAAGGGAAGAAUAAUGACUACGUGUAGUCAGAUGCCCGUACCUUAUGAAUACGCAUCGGCUAACUCCGUGCACGCGGCCGCGGUAAUACGGAGGAUGCGAGCUUUAUCCGGGUGUAUGGGGUGUAAAGGGUGCGUAGGCGGUAAUUUAAGUUAGUGGUAAAACGUCGGGGCUUCACAUUGAGUGGGCAUUCACACUGCCGUACUCGAGUUCAGACGAGGUAUGCGUAAUCCGUUCCGUAGCGGUGCCAUGCUUAGAUAUAACU
rnacentral:rRNA from 1 species